rnacentral:rRNA from 1 species
UACGGGGGGAGCAAGCGCUGUUCGGAUUUACUGGGCGUAAAGGGCGCGUAGGCGGUCAGCACAAGUCAGUUGUGAAAUCUCCGGGCUUAACUCGGAAAGGUCAACUGAUACUGUGCGACUAGAGUGCGGAAGGGGCAACUGGAAUUCUCGGUGUAGCGGUGAAAUGCGUAGAUAUCGAGAGGAACACCUGCGGCGAAGGCGGGUUGCUGGGCCGACACUGACGCUGAUGCGCGAAAGCCAGGGGAGCGAACGGG